AGAGUUUGAUCCUGGCUCAGGAUGAACGCUGGCGGCGUGCCUAAUACAUGCAAGUCGAGCGGAAAGGUCUCUUCGGAGAUACUCGAGCGGCGGACGGCUGAGUAACACGUAGGAACGUACCCCAAAGUGAGGGAUAACUGCUCGAAAGAGUAGCUAAUACCGCAUGUGAUCCACGGAUUAAAGCCUUCGGGCGCUAUGGG
rnacentral:rRNA from 1 species